CAUCCCACGCCAUGUCUAAAAAAACACUCAACGCCUGAUCGAUCCAGAUCCCCAAUCCCGUCUCCGCUCCCACCUCCUCUCCUCCCCUCCCAAGUCCCAACCCUCCAUGGAGGGGGGAGCCGCCGGCGCAGGCCCCGCCCCCCAGAGCCGCCGCCGCCUCCGGCUCCGGCGGUGGCGGGGAGAAGGGCGCCCCGUGCCAGGAGUGCGGGGAGCAGCCGUGGAAGUACCGGUGCCCGGGCUGCUCCCGCCUCACCUGCAGCCUCCCCGGCGUGCAGGCCCACAAGCGCCCCCGCACCGUCCCCGUCCCGCUCGCCCAGUUCGACGACAACCAGCUCCUCUCCGAUUACAACUUGCUGGAGGAGACGAGCAUGGUCAGGGAGUCGGCCCACAGGCUGCUCGGCGGCUUCGGCCGCAACUUCGGCUGCGGCAUCGAGGAACGCCAUGGCGCGCAGCUGCCGCCGUGGCUCACCUUCCUCCGCAAGGCCGCGGAGCGCCGGGGUGUCCGGCUGGCCGUCCAAACCUGAAUUUUCCAUGGACCAUGUUUGUAACUUGUAUGUGUUGCUUUUGUUGCUUCAGUCUUCAGUUUACCAGGAGAUACUAGUGGUCAAUGUACCAGGUUGCUUGUUUCUACCGGGAUAAGUGUGAGGCAUACAUUCCUGCCGGUGUUGGCGGCUCGAUCAGGUCGGGGGGCAUCGGUCGCCGAGGCCGAGAAGACCGGGCUGUCGUUGGAUAGCUUCAAGACAACCGUUGUCAAACGCGACGACGAAAACAUCCAUGUAAGAUUGUUUGUGAACUCUGCCAAGCCAUGUUAAAUUAAAGCUGUCAACUCAGGAACAAAAAAAUUGGGUCCUGGUGAUAUAUAAGGAAGUCAAUUAAAAUAUUUUUCAUUAACCAUUUGUAGUAGUAUAGAUUUCUUAAAGGAUUAAACAAAAAUCUCCUAUGUCUAGAACUAGAAGACAUCUUAGAAAAUUAGGAUACAGAGCUAGAAGGAUGCACAACUUCAGGAAACAACAAUUAUUAUAUUUUAAGGUUGUAAAGGUUGUAUGUUGCGUUGUACUCUUGCCCGAGCUUAAUCAGUGGCCGCUCCGCCCACCGGCCGUUGGCCAGAGGUGAGUUAUUCUCAGCUAAGAGCACGGAUUCCUUUCAGGGAUGCAAAUUGGGAAGCUUUUGUUCUUCAGAUAUGCAAAAUUAUUCAUUGUUCAUCGGUUGCUUAGGGGAACAUGGUUACCUUGAUGAGUUUUCUCUGUUUCAACCAUACAACUCAUCUAGCAUACGGUAUCGUCGUUGCAACCUUUCAAUUUGGUAACUUGGAAGUAGUUUACAGUUACUGUAUUGUGAGUAUGGUGACCUGAAAAUAAGGUAGCAAAUUACUAUAGAUACUACUUCAAAACCAUGUACUCCUACUCACUAUUUCUAUGUGUCAUGUGUACUACCAACUUACUGAUGUUUCUUUAAUUCCCACAGUCUACAAAAUUCAUGCUUGCUACUGUAUGUUUGUGCCCCUAGCUUGCAUGUUGAUGUUGUAUGUGCAUGGUGGUGGCCUCCUUCCUGUUGUUAUUUGCUCCAUAUUGAGAAUUGUUUUGUAAAAGAUAAUGAGAUGGACGCAGUUAGGAGAUGAUGCUAGCAAGUUCAAACUCUCUUGAAUGGAUAGAUCAUAGUGCAGUUAGGAGAAGUGAUGUUAUGAAUAUGUUGUAUGCAAGUUCAGUGUGUAUUAGAAAAAGUUCAGCAUUAAAUUAUAUAGCAAAGACUCAGUUAGGUUACAUUAGGAGCCAUGAAAAUUAACUAAAAAAGUAAAAACAGAGGAGAGGGUCCAGUGAGUAGCUGGGUCCCUAGCAACCAAAAGAAAAAAGAGCAAAACAGAGACCAAUUACUUACUGUUAAUUGUCUUAUCUUGUGAUGUACGUCAUGCAAUUUUCUGUUCAGCAAACUGCUUGACCAAUAUUAAUUAUUUAGUAGGCUAUAUUAGUAAUUUGAUUUUUCUUGUUUUGUGCAGUUUGAAGAAAUUCAUGGUUAUUUACAGUUUUGAGUUAGAUUUAUUCCAUUUGAAAUGAGGGCAUAUAUACUUGAUUGGGCAUACGGAAUCUUACUAGCUUCUAAAUCCGCUGAGCUGUACUGAUGAUCUGUUUUUGCUACUCACACAUUUUAUCCAAAGGAUCCUUAUGUCAAAACGAUGGCCACUUCUAGGUUGCUGAAGGAGGGAGCUGGCCUUCUUCACGUCUCGGGGCAGUGUCUUCCUUGGAUUCAACAAGGAGGGGACCCGGCCUUCUUCAUGUAUUGUGCAAUAAGGGUGAUCGACGCAGACUACCACAACCAGGUGGGUGUCGUGCUCUUCAACCACUCGGAGGCGGACUUCGCCGUGAAGCUCGGAGACUGCAUCGCGCAGAUAAUCGUCUAGGUGAUUGCGUCGCCGGAGGUCGCCGAGGUGGAGGACCUCAAUGCCACCGCCAGGAGGGAGGGAGGGUUCGGGUCCACCGGCGUUUGAACUCCGAGCCUUGGUAGAUACAUCUAGAGAAGUGGUCUGGUUGUUUGCGUCUGAUGUUAAAUGGGAUCUCAUGAUCCCUUGGAGUUGAGAUGUUCAAUGUUGCAGCCAUGAACGCUGGAAGUGCUAAACUGGUUCUGUGACCUUAGUUUAUUUUGCAUUGGACGUGUGUUGAUUUCCAUCCAUCAA